ACGGGAGGCAGCAGUGAGGAAUAUUGGUCAAUGGGCGGAAGCCUGAACCAGCCAAGUCGCGUGAAGGAUGAAGGUAUUAUGUAUUGUAAACUUCUUUAGACGCAGAGAAAUAAGAGGCUCGUGAGCCUUGAUGCUAGUAUGCGUAGAAUAAGGAUCGGCUAACUCCGUGCCAGCAGCCGCGGUAAUACGGAGGAUCCGAGCGUUAUCCGGAUUUAUUGGGUUUAAAGGGUGCGUAGGCGGAUGAUUAAGUCAGUGGUGAAAGGUCCCGGCUCAACCGGGGAGCUGCCAUUGAUACUGGUUGUCUUGAAUGCGGAUGCCGUGGGAGGAAUGUGUGGUGUAGCGGUGAAAUGCAUAGAUAUCACACAGAACACCGAUUGCGAAGGCAUCUCACGAAUCCGUUAUUGACGCUGAGGCACGAAAGCGUGGGGAUCAAACAGGAUUAGAUACCCUGGUA
rnacentral:rRNA from 1 species